rnacentral:lncRNA from 1 species
UCGUAAAUUCGCCUCGCUUAGAAUCUCUCGCCUUAAUUAAAUUACUGGUUUAACUGAUAGCCGCUAAUGUAACAGGUUAAUCAAAACUAAAUGGUAGGUAUUAUUUAUAUUUGAUAAUGUCGAAUUAAACGUUUUAGUUAAUAUUUAUUUAGUGUAAACUUCGUAAAUUCGCCUCGCUUAGAAUCUCUCGCCUUAAUUAAAUUACUGGUUUAACUGAUAGCCGCUAAUGUAACAGGUUAAUCAAAACUAAAUGGUAGAUAUUAUUUAUAUUUGAUAAUGUCGAAUUAAACGUUUUAGUUAAUAUUUAUUUAGUGUAAACUUUACGACUUCUCGAAUGUAACUUUGACCGUCGCGUUUCUCAUCCCCGCGUAACCGUAGAAGCGCUCUCUAUUUUAUGCUGCAUGUUUUUAUAACAUCUUAUCUCAUAUGGUGUAAUGUUCUUAUGUAUAUGUAUGUUUGCUUGUGUCUGUUCAUCUUCGCUUCGCGUGCGAUUAGAUCGCGAUUCGUUUAUGAGCUUCGAGGAAUCGAUGAUCAAGCAUGGCGACAAAGUGAUCGAACUCUUCGAGUUCUACGAGAUCGAAGACCCUGAGCAUCUGUUUGGUGAAUGCAAGUGUCCUCUGACCCAUUAUGUCCCAUUUACUUUAUAAUACACUGUCCCGCAUACUAUGAACAACCUAAGGAUUUACUAGCUUUCUAUUUACCUUGUCCUUGAUUUACCUUUUGGGUUACUAUGGUUAGCUACAUGCUAGCGCUUUACUUUAAUCAAUGAACAUGAUGAGAUACAAUGAUGAUACUAUGAUUUUAUUCUGGAUAUGAUGAUAUACUUGUGGCAUUUAGGGGACUCGGGUUGUUUCCCGAGUACCUCUCCGUAAGGACCUGUUCGUUGAGAGACCACCCGGGAUAACAGUGCAACCAUGAGGGUGAAAUGGGGCGCCCUUAGCUAAUUAAUUAGAGGAACUAGAGGUGUAGUUGCUUCGCCGUCGUGCCGUCAAUGGGGUCCAGGCACAGUGCUUGCUCUGCCGAGGCUGGGUGCCGAGGUUCUUUCGUUUUGCUUUUGUUAGUCACCCCCCUGCGGGGAGUGGUACUGUGUUUAUCAAACUGGAGAAACCUAACGGGCGGCUAGUACCUCUAGGGAAUCUUUGUAAAAGCUACGUAGUGAUACCCUGCCGGACCACCUAGGAAGUGAUCAAUGGGGAGUCAUGAUCCCCAGGCAAAACGGGAAUCACGGCUCAUGGGUAAAGUGUGCGACCUCUGCAGAGGGUAAUGAAACUGAUAUAUCAGCCGUGCUCACGGUUAUGAGCGGCCUUGGGAUCCUCUUUGAUUAGAAAUACAGAUGGUUCGAGAUACAAUGGUUCUAUUUAUGAUUUUGGUUCGAUGAUGAUAAUGAUGUUCCUCGAGGAGGAAAUGGUUCAUGGGUUGGCUAUUACUAAAACUUGGCUUCCACUAAUAAUAAAUACAUGACCAACUAAAAGCAACUGCUUGAGCUUAACCCCACAUAAAGCUAGCCCACUUGAGCCAAACGGGACACUUGCUGAGUACGUUGAUGUGUACUCACCCUUGCUUUCAUAAAACACCAGGUGCCUUCGGUGCAAUCUAUGCUUAGGUAAAGAAGAAUGCGUCGAGGCGGAUCUCCAGGAGUUCCAAGACUUCGACGAGUUCGAGGAUUAGGCUAGCGACCUCCCCCAGUCAGCUGCCUGUGGUGGGUUUAUUUACGUUGGCUACGUUUCUAUUCUGUGUACUUUGAUUAUAUUAUGUAAAUGACUCUAGUCUUUAAUAUUAUUACUCAUUCUAUAUUGUUAUUCGAAGCAUUGUGCUAUGAUGAGUCAUUUAUGUAAUUGCUGUGUACGUGAAUUUCUGAUCCUGGCACGUACAUGGUUCGCAUUCGGUUUACCUUCCAAAACCGGGUGUGACAUAAGUGGUAUCAAAGCCGUGAUGACUGUAGGACUGCUAGCCUAGAGUAACAUUGGCCGUUUUAAGGACUUAUUGAUCAUUACUUCACCUCAUCCUUGAUGUUGUUUCAAAAUAUUAGUCACCUCGACUAAUUCUAUGUUGUGCUCCUAUAUGCCCCCUUGCCAAAAGUAUUUUAUUCCAGUAUGGUCUAUACUUUUCUCAAUCUAUUAGAUCUGAUCUCACUCUUGUGCUAGCGACAUAUUUGUAGAUACCCCCUGACCAUAACCUUCUUGCCUUUUGGGAUUUAUUCCUCUUCCAUCACUAAAUUUCUACAAUUUGGCAAUCAUUAUUCCUUUGUUAUUGACAUGCUUGUACCCUAGAUUCUUAAAUACUCUUGUUUCAAAUACUUAUAUAUGAAUUUCUACUGCCUACUUAAACAUUUCAGUUUAUAUGUCCAUCAUCAUCCUGUCUUUCGAGACCCUUUCCUAUUCUGUUGCUAAGUCGCUAUCUUUUGGCAAUUCGUACUCCCUUGGUCUUGGUAUGCUCGCACCUUCGUAAUCUUGCAUACUUUUACUUUUUAUAUAAACGCUUACCUUUGUACCCCAAUGUCUGUUUAAAGACCUUUCAGUUUACAUACUCUUGACCACCUUUGUUUCUUCAUGAUCCAUGAGCGGUCAUUUUAUUUUGCAUAUCCUUGGUAAUCUUGUUGUCUCCUUGUAACUCCACUUGGUAAUUAAUUUUCUUUACUUCAACCAUUCUGUUGCAACCUUACCUAUCUUACCCUUGACUGUUUUCUCCACUUUACCACCUAGCGAGUCUUGCCUGAACUCUAUCCUUAUGCUUUUCAUUAGUAUCAUCUUUACCUUUGACACCUCUAUAUCUUACUUGAUGUUUGUCUCAUACCUGCCCUUUAAAAUCACCUCUCUCCCGUCUUAUUCUGAGAGCUAUACUUUACCUAUCUUUACCUUGGUUGCAUCCUCUUCUUUGGCUUGCGAGUUUGUAACUUCGUCCUUUGCUGUGCUUUUGUUUGUUACUGCCUCCACCUAUCCCACCUCUCAAUCUUACCUUGGUGAUUACAUUAUUUUUGUUAUCUAAAAUCUCCAAUCUCCUAUCCCAAUUUGAGAACGGUGUUUUACUUAUCUUAUCCUUGGCAACGUCAUAUUCUUUACCACGUGUAAGCCUUGACAUACCUCCAUUCUUUAUUGUACUUAUACCACUGGCUCUUCUAUGCCUUCACAUUUUCUCCUAUACUCUUGUCUGUUAUCGCCUUUGACCCUUGCGAUAUUUAUGUCAUCUACCUAAAUGCUUACCUUAAAAUUAUCCUUUAAAAGCCUCUCCUGUAUUUUGAGAAAGUUUGAGAGUUGCGAGUUACCCAUCCCUCCCUUGAUUUCUUUUCACUUCUUGUCGCCUUACAAGUCUUGUCUAAUUCCAUCAUCUGUUGUGUUUUUAUUUGCUAUCACCAUUACCUCGCCAUCCAUCGAUCUUACCUUCAUACUGAUCUUUAUGCUUGCUUCUUAAAAAUUCCCUCUCUUCCACCUCAAUUUGAGAGUGGCGAUUUACCUAUCUUGCCCUUGGACGUACCCCCUUCUUUUUCAUUUGCAGGUCCGGUCUUAACUCCAUCCUUUAUUGUACUUAUAUCCUUUGCCUUAUGCCUAUUUACCUCCUCCCCUACAUCCUUGUUUGUAAUUACCUUUACAACCCUCGUGAUACCUAUGCCCUUGCCCUCCUGCUUACCUUGAACCUACCUUUUGAAGCCUCCUCUUUUCCAUCACUGUUUGAGGAUAAUGCCUCACCUACUUCAUCAUUGAUUGCUCCCCCUUCUUUGAUGCCUCGCAAGUUUUGUCUAAAAUACAUCCUUGGUUGUGUUUGUCUGUUAUCACCUUACCCCUUGUCACCCCUCGAUCCUUACCUUGAUGCAUAUCUCGUACCUGUAUUUUAAAGCCUCCUUUCUCGUUUCAGUUCAAAGAGUGUUGUCUUAUCCAUCCCACUCUUGGUUGUUCCCUUUUCCUCUGUAGCAUUGCAAGUCUUAACUUUCGUUGAAUAUCACCCUUACCUUUGUAAUCACUAUAUCUUGUUGUGAUGCUUAUUAGGUCUGCUUUUUGGGAUCUCCUCUUUUCUAUCUCAACUCGAGAGUGGUGUUCUACCUCUUAUGCCUUGGUCGUGACCUUUUCUAGGUCGCUCACAAUGCUUGCUUUAACUCCAUCCUUUAUUGUGCUUGUGUCCCUAUCCCACACGUCUUGUUCUUCUCCUCGUCCUUCGACAACCUUAGAAAGUAGUUAUUCAUGUUUCAAGAAAGACCACCAUUUAAUUAAAAGAAACGUAUAGCAACGAGAUGUUUGUUGUUGUAUGCUUGUGCUGUUUGUCUUUGUGUGAUGACUGAUUUGCUUCUUUGUGAUGAGUGUUGAUGUGUUGUGGCCCUUGGUCUGCAAUGACAUCAGUUCACUAGCUGAGUGCCAUAGAGUUAGGUAGUUGGGUGCUCUCCCUUUUCUCUCUUUAAUCCAUCUAUGCUUACCUUUUCUAUCUGUGGCCUUUCCUCUUGCACCUGUCCGGUUGGCAGCCUCCAACCUCUCUUAAUCAAUCAAAAUCAGAGUCAACGUCAUCUUCACCAAAUGCAUAUCAACGCUCUUGUUAAGGGGGUUAUCCGCUAACCCCAAUGAAGACAAUGUGAUCAACAUCAACAAACAUGAUCAAAGUGAAGCAGCGGAAGCAGGCGUGGGUCCUAACCCACAGGUCCAAGGGAUCCUCAAGAAUUGCAUGAAUAGGUCUCAAGCAUCUAAAGGUCAAAGCAAACAGUCCACGAGUUAAGUUUGUAGAGUCAAAGUCAACUCAAGAAAGCUGUGAGCAACCAAUGAACCAAUCUCAUUUUCUUGCUAGCCUCUUCUUGAAUCUCGAGGGCGAGAUUCCGUUAAGGGGGUUAGAUUUGUAACACCCUGAAUUUGGGGGUAUAAAUUUUUUUCUCUAAUAUCCAUCAAAUUCAGGUGUUACCCUCUCAUUUCCUUCCUUUUCUUUUCUUUUUUCCUAAAUAGUGAAGAGUUAUUUUGAUUUUAUGUCUAGGCGUAAGCCUAGUAAAAUAAAAUCUUAGAGGAACUUUGAUUGUUGCAUUCAUGCCGAUGCAUAGUGUUUAUGAGUGUAAAAUGUUAUCGUAACAGAUUAAAAUAUCUCGAGGAUGUUCCCAAGAGUUUUUUGGAAUCUUUGGAAUGUUUCUUUGAGUAUUAAAUAUGAAUUUUAGUUUUUCUAAUUUUAAUUAAAUACUUAAAUUUAGUACUUGCAAAAAACUAUAAAAAUUUGGAAGCUCAAUUAUAUAUAUUUUUCUUCCUCUCAUAAAGCCUGAUCUAGAUCUUGUGUCGUUUUCGCGAGAUCGCCAAACCGUCUCUCCUCGCAAACGUCGUGCUGCUCAUGUCUACCCCGUCUAUCCCUUGGCGCAGGCACAAUCACCUCGUUUCGUCUCACUUUGUCGCAUAACUUUCACCUUUCAUGAACUCAACUGACUCACCACACCUCUCUUCCAAAUAUAUAUCUAUAUAUGUGACACACGCUUUUUUUCUGUUCUCCAUCGUCAACCCCACGCAUGGCCGCAUGCAACUUUUUGCCUGCAUUGGUGCGUCUUGUGCGGUUGAGAAAAUAGAGGAAAGAAAUAUCAUAUGGGUCCCACUUCCUAUUUUCUCUCUUGGCGUAAUCUGCAUGCUACCCAAACCAACCACGCUCGGCCUCUCUCUCCAGUCUCCACCCACCGCGCAUGCCAUGCGUCGUAGCUGCGCAUCGCGCCCACCAGGCCGCCCAAUCUCCUAUUCAUCUUCUCCAAACUGCCUCUCCCCACCCAUCUCGCCCAUGUUCGCGAAACCCAGAGCCGAACCGCCCCCAGUCGACCUCGGCUCUCCGGCGAGCUGCCCUCCAUGUCCUGGCCACACAGUCGUUCGUCGCGCCGAUCGCCCAGGAAGAUCUGUGAUGCGCUCGUCGUUGCCGAGGUUAGUGGCCGGGUGAGGCUCCCUCUUCUUCUCCCUUUAUCCCUCUUCUUCUCUGGCUGCUCCCUCCCUCCCCACGCAUUCUUCCCCUCCCCUGCAGCGCGGCCAAGCCUGGCAACCUGGCACGGUGUCGCGGCUUUGCCCGUGGUAAGGCACCUCCUCCCAGCGAGAACCCGCGUGGCGCCCCUGUCCUGUUGCCCCAACAAGCGACGUCGUCUGCCCAUUCUAGCCAUGGCCGACCAGCCCGCCCAGUCCCUGCUCCCUCCCUAAUCCCGCGCGGCGGCGUGCUCGGCGCCCAGCUGGUAGCUUGCCUUGCGCCUCGUGCCUCCCCUGACCGAGCGGCCUGCUUGCCGCAGAAGAGAGAUCCAGGACGCGUCCGGCCCACAGCCCCGCCCCUGCGCAGAAAUCCCAGAGCCGGUUGUUCCCCUGUGUGUGUGUGCGUGGUGAGAGGUUGAAGAAAGGGAGCAGCCACAUUAGAUCCUACUCCCUUUCAUCCUAUGUGGUUGUGUCCCCAUGUGACCCUUCAUGUGGCUUCGGUUCAACCAACUAGUUCGUGACACGUCACCUAUAAUCCGCGGAAUAUUAUUCAUUCAGUAUAUGUUGCGAUUAUAAAUACGUUUUGGACCAUUCUAAUUACGCUAAUUCCAUAACCACGUCAUCUGCAUAUUAAAAUAUUAUUUUGUCAUAUCGUAUAUUUUAAAUAGUUAUUUAAUCUCUUGUCUAUUCAAUGAUUAUUAAAGUAGUGUUGCAAUUAAAAUUAAUCUAUAUUCUUACUUUGCGAUUUUAAAAUACAUGUUAAUAUUAUUAUAUCAAAUCAAAUGUUUCUGAAUAGGUACUUACUUAGUAUAGACGCAAUAUAUGCAAUGCUCGCGUGUCGCGUGUGUCCACACGACGUUCGUGCGUGCUGUUCACGUGUCAUCGUUCGCGCGAGUCGCGAUUCGCGCGCUUUAAUAAAAUUGUUUAUUACCUAUGAAUUGUUAGCUAUUCCAUAUAUAAUGCGCCAUAAUCCUGUUUCUAUUCGUUUCAGUGGCUUUAACUUCGUAACCUCGUCGUCAACCUGCUAGUAACGUUAUUUCCUCGCGCGUGUCGUCGCGCGUGCUAUUCGCACGCGUUGCCGCGGGUUGUUUUCGCACAUUGUCGCUUGUCGCGCGCUGUCCGCGCGUAAUAUUAAAUCAACGGUUCAGUAAAUACACGUGAACUUUUAUGGUCGUCCGAUUUACUCUAUUCUAAUUGUUUCACCUUCACAAUAAUAUUAUGUACACGUUAAAAUAUUAUUUUAUCGUACCUCAUGCUUUAGUUAAUUAAUUAAUUAAUUGUCGGCCAUGCUUUAGCAUAAAUCGAUAAAUGUAGUGAUUCUCGUGUCGUCGCUGUCUGUGGGCGUCGUCGCGCGCUAUUCGCGAUGUUGUUCACGCGCGUCGUCGCGUGCCGUCCACGUGCUGCUCGCCCUACCACGCGUCGUUAGCGCGUAUCUCACGUGUGUCACGUGGCGUCCACGCGUCAUAAUAUAUUGUUUUCGUUAAAUACUCAUGAGUAUAACACAUUCAUCUGGUCGCAUAUUCUAAUGAAUUUGUUUAAUGUUUGCUCGUCUAAUGUUUAUUAGAUUAGUAGUUCAAUUAAAUUAAAUAUUAAAUAUAUAUAGUUGUCAACUUGCGUUUUUAUAAUAAACAUUAACAUGACUAAUAUCAACUUAACUACCUUUUAUUUAUUUAAUAUUCAUUUAGUAUAAACGUCUCACCUAUUUUGUUUUUUUGCCUGUCGCGCGUGUUUUUCCGCGUGUGGUGGCGUUCUCGUUCGCGCUGGUCGCGUGCUGUUUCGUGUGUCGUCGGCGUGCUAUGUCGAGCGUGUCCGCGCGUCUUUCGCACGUUGUCAUGUUGUUUCGCUCGUCGUAAAUUCGCCUCGCUUAGAAUCUCUCGCCUUAAUUAAAUUACUGGUUUAACUGAUAGCCGCUAAUGUAACAAGUUAAUCAAAACUAAAUGGUAGAUAUUAUUUAUAUUUGAUAAUGUCGAAUUAAACGUUUUAGUUAAUAUUUAUUUAGUGUAAACGUUACGACUUCUCGAAUGUAACUUUGACCGUCACGUUUCUCAUCCCCGCGUAACCGUAGAAGCGCUCUCUAUUUUAUGCUGCAUGUUUUUAUAACAUCUUAUCUCGUAUGGUGUAAUGUUCUUAUGUAUAUGUUUAUUUGCUUGUGCCUGUUCAUCUUUGCUUCGCGUGCGAUUAGAUCGCGAUUCGUUUAUGAGCUUCGAGGAAUCGAUGAUCAAGCAUGGCGACAGAGUGAUCGAACUCUUCGAGUUCUACGUGAUUGAAGACCCUGAGCAUCUGUUUGGUGAAGGCAAGUGUCCUCUGACCCAUUAUGUCCCAUUUACUUUAUAAUACACUGUCCCACAUACUAUGAACAACCUAAGGAUUUACUAGCUUUCUAUUUACCUUGUCCUUGAUUUACCUUUUGGGUUACUAUGGUUAGCUACAUGCUAGCGCUUUACUUUAAUCAAUGAACAUGAUGAGAUACAAUGAUGAUGCUAUGAUUUUAUUCUGGAUAUGAUGAUAUACUUGUGGCAUUUAGGGGACUCGGGUUGUUUCCCGAGUACCUCUCCGUAAGGACCUGUUCGUUGAGAGACCACCCGGGAUAACAGUGCAACCAUGAGGGUGAAAUGGGGCGCCCUUAGCUAAUUAAUUAGAGGAACUAGAGGUGUGGUUGCUUCACCGUCGUGCCGUCAAUGGGGUCCAGGCACAGUGCUUGCUCUGCCGAGGCUGGGUGCCGAGGUUCUUUCGUUUUGCUUUUGUUAGUCACCCCCCUGCGGGGAGUGGUACUGUGUUUAUCAAACUGGAGAAACCUAACGGGCGGCUAGUACCUCUAGGGAAUCUUUGUAAAAGCUACGUAGUGAUACCCUGCCGGACCACCUAGGAAGUGAUCAAUGGGGAGUCAUGAUCCCCGGGCAAAACGGGAAUCACGGCUCAUGGGUAAAGUGUGCGACCUCUGCAGAGGGUAAUGAAACUGAUAUAUCAGCCGUGCUCACAGUUAUGAGCGGCCUUGGGAUCCUCUUUGAUUAGAAAUACAGAUGGUUCGAGAUACAAUGGUUCUAUUUAUGAUUUUGGUUCGAUGAUGAUAAUGAUGUUCCUCGAGGAGGAAAUGGUUCACGGGUUGGCUAUUACUAAAACUUGGCUUCCACUAAUAAUAAAUACAUGACCAACUAAAAGCAACUGCUUGAGCUUAACCCCACAUAAAGCUAGCCCACUUGAGCCAAACGGGACACUUGCUGAGUACGUUGAUGUGUACUCACCCUUGCUUUCAUAAGACACCAGGUGCCUUCGGUGCAAUCUAUGCUUAGGUAAAGAAGAAUGCGUCGAGGCGGAUCUCCAGGAGUUCCAAGACUUCGACGAGUUCGAGGAUUAGGCUAGCGACCUCCCCCAGUCAGCUGCCUGUGGUGGGUUUAUUUACGUUGGCUACGUUUCUAUUCUGUGUACUUUGAUUAUAUUAUGUAAAUGACUCUAGUCUUUAAUAUUAUUACUCAUUCUAUAUUGUUAUUCGAAGCAUUGUGCUAUGAUGAGUCAUUUAUGUAAUUGUUGUGUACGUGAAUUUCUGAUCCUGGCACGUACAUGGUUCGCAUUCGGUUUACCUUCCAAAACCGGGUGUGACAGCGAUGGCUCAGGCGCAGUGCUGACAUCUUCCUUUGAGGUGGAGAUCCUUCCCCCGUGUCGACGUCCGAGGCCGGGUCAGAUUCCACCGAAGGUGGAGACGAUGCCGAGGGUGCUGCUGCUCCCCCUAUUGAUGUCUGAACCUGCAAGAACAAUUUGUCUGUAGUGUGCGUAUGUUUUUUGCGGCCGCCGAGGUCCAAACAUAUCAUGGUCGUGUUAUAAAGUUGUGUUUCUUUUCGCUCCCGUUUCAAGUAUCCGGACUUGUUCGUCAGUAGCAGAAUCGCUUAUCCGAGCGAGAGUUACUUUUCACAGAAGGUGAUGAGUGAGGUAUCCAUAUCCUGGAGGCGUAGGAGUUCCUCGACUCGGUCGGCCUUGCCGCUUACGUGUACUCCGUCAUUUUCAGGAUUCCACUAUCGAAGUAGUCGAAAAGCGCGAAAGACGUUCUGACAGAAAGACUUUUUCCGAGGAAAAUUUUGAC